rnacentral:rRNA from 1 species
UGGGGAAUAUUGCACAAUGGGCGCAGCCUGAUGCAGCAACGCCGCGUGAGGGACGAAGGCCUUCGGGUUGUAAACCUCUUUUAGCAGGGAAGAAGCGAAAGUGACGGUACCUGCAGAAAAAGCACCGGCUAACUACGUGCCAGCAGCCGCGGUAAUACGUAGGGUGCAAGCGUUGUCCGGAAUUAUUGGGCGUAAAGAGCUCGUAGGCGGUUUGUCGCGUCUGCUGUGAAAACUGGAAGCUCAACUUCCAGCCUGCAGUGGGUACGGGCAGACUAGAGUGCGGUAGGGGAGAACGGAAUUCCUGGUGUAGCGGUGGAAUGCGCAGAUAUCAGGAGGAACACCGAUGGCGAAGGCAGUUCUCUGGGCCGUUACUGACGCUGAGGAGCGAAAGCGUGGGGAGCGAACA